rnacentral:rRNA from 1 species
UACGGAGGGCGCAGGCGUUGUUCGGAAUCACGGGGCGUAAAGCGCGGGUAAGCGGAUUGGUAAGUCGGGUGUGAAAGCCCGGAGCUCAACUCCGGAACUGCAUUCGAAACUACCUCGCUCGAGUCCCGGAGAGGGUGGUGGAAUUCCCGGUGUAGAGGUGAAAUUCGUAGAUAUCGGGAGGAACACCAGUGGCGAAGGCGGCCACCUGGACGGUGACUGACGCUGAGACGCGAAAGCGUGGGGAGCAAAUAGG